rnacentral:rRNA from 1 species
GAUCCUGGCUCAGGAUGAACGCUGGCGGCGUGCUUAACACAUGCAAGUCGAGCGAAGCACUUUGCUUUGAUUUCUUCGGGAUGAAGAGCUUAGUGACUGAGCGGCGGACGGGUGAAGUAACGCGUGGGUAACCUGCCUCAUACAGGGGGAUAACAGUUAGAAAUGACUGCUAAUACCGCAUAAGACCACAGCACCGCAUGGUGCAGGGGUAAAAACUCCGGUGGUAUAGAGAUGGACCCG